rnacentral:lncRNA from 1 species
UAAAAAAUACAAUCAAGAAAACGGCAAUAGAGAGUGAGAGCGAGUGAAAGAACCAACAUGGUUCUUCUGCAAACAUGGUCGAAGAACAAGAAGCUAAUCGAGUUUCAAAAAUCUUUUGAUUGGAUUCUUCAUCUGCUUGGUGAGCCUUUUCUUCAAAAAAUUGUCCUAGCCACACCAAAAUCCUUCAUUGGAGUCAUUUAACUUGUUUAUUAACACCCACUUACCUAACUCCGAAUACCUAUCGGAACUCGAAUUUUUAAGUUUAAAUUAAAAAAAAAAAAAUAAAGCUCCUACAGCCAGAUAC